AUGUGAAAGUCUAUGUGCGCUCAUGUGUUGCUUGUCAAAGAACAGAUCCUUUAAAGCCUGCAAAGAAACCUGAACUGCAACAAAUAAAGGUUUCCAGUCCAUUUGAACUGGUUGGAGUGGAUUUAAUAGGACCCUUUACAACCACUAGUCAAGGCUUCAAAUACAUUUUUACUGCCACUGACUACAAUACAAAAUGGGUUGAAGCAUUUCCCAUUGCCUCCAAAAAAGCAACAGAUGUAGCCAAGUGUUUUCAGAAGCUGUUUGCUAGGCAUGGUGCUGUAAAUGCGAUUCUUACAGAUCAGGGAAAAGAAUUUCUGAACAAUCUAAAUGAACAACUUUGUCAGGAGUGGAAUAUCAAGCAUAAAGUGACAGCAGCAUACCAUCCACAAACAAAUGGUCUAGAUGAGAGGACCAACCAAACCUUGAAAGCGUAAGUUUAUUAUAUAUUUUAUUUGUUUUAAUAUUUUCUAUUCAUCACUGAUACAAAAAAUUAACGCUUACUAUUUUUAAUUACUGUUCAAUUAAUUAUUGUCAUUAUUUGUUUCUAAAUCAAUUUAGUAAUUAAAACAUGUAUUAUAUUGUGAAUAUAAAUUCUUAUUUUAAUUAAAAGAAAACUUUAAAAAAAAACACAAAUGUUAACAGUAAGCUAUUACAGUUGUAGUAAAAGCUUUCAUCUGUAGUUGUGUCCCUUUGUUAAUCAAACACCAUUUACCUCAUUUGAUUUUUUCAUUAAAGAUUUUUUGUUUUUAAAUGGUUUGGGUUUGUGUGGUUUAUUAAUUAAGGAAUGUUUGCAUGUUACCGUUAUGUUGUGAACUUGAGAUUUUUAUAACAAUUUGAUGCCUGACUGAUCGACAUGUAAAAUAUGAGUGUCCUAAUUACAAUUGUUAAUUGAAGUUAAUUUCACAUUGAAAAAGCAUUUUUCAUAUACAGGGCCUUAUAAUUCUACAUUAAAAUAUUAUUAAAAAAUCAAGGCCUAAGAGCAUUAUACUUAUGUUAGCAUUAUAAUGGGUCACAUUUAACAGGCCUGCAGUAUUUUCAAAUUCAACUUCUUGUAUUUUAACAUCAGUCUUCUAACUAAAGUAAUUCAAUUUAUGCCAGUAUUCCUACUCCCAUUUAAAUUGAUUUUAUAGUGUUUAUGUAACAGACUAAGUUAUAUGCCCGACAGCAGUGAAUAUGACAUAACAGCUGUCAAAAAAUCUAAACAUUAUCGAGUAAAGACUAGCUAAAUACUGUAUGUGUAGAAAUAUUAGCGGGCUUCAAAUUUUCGCAAUCUUCAUUGUGAC